UGGAACCUUACUACAUCAGGAUCUUUCAUAGUAUACUCUAUGUACCAUAUGCUCAUGCAUUCUGAGGUACCAGUGAGUAAUAACAAGAAAAUUUGGAAGUCCAAGAUUCCACUAAAAGUGAAAAUCUUCUUGUGGUAUCUUCGUAGGGGAGUUGUGUUAACGAAAGAAAAUGUCGCAUGGUACAACUAACCAGGGAGUAAUAAGUGUUGUUUUUGCACUCGUGAUGAGGCAAUCAAACACCUCUUUUUCCAAUGCAAGUUUGCACGUUCUACAUGGUCAGUCAUCCAAAAAACGUCAAAUUUGUAUCCGUCCAUAAGUGUUGCCAAUAUUUUUAGCCAUGGGUUGAACGAUAUUCCGAAUAGAUUCAAAACGCUAAUAAGGGUGGGAGUGUAUGCCUUAAUUUGGUCGCUUUUGGCUAUGUAUAAAUGA
rnacentral:rRNA from 1 species